rnacentral:rRNA from 1 species
GGUGUGACUGCGUACCUUUUGUAUAAUGGGUCAGCGACUUACAUUUUGUAGCAAGGUUAACCGAAUAGGGUAGCCGUAGGGAAACCGAGUCUUAACUGGGCGUCAAGUUGCAAGGUGUAGACCCGAAACCGGGCGAUCUAUCCAUGGGCAGGUUGAAGGUUGAGUAACAUCAACUGGAGGACCGAACUCACUAAUGUUGAAAAAUUAGGAGAUGACCUGUGGCUAGGAGUGAAAGGCUAAUCAAGCCCGGAGAUAGCUGGUUCUCCCCGAAAUCUAUUUAGGUAGAGCCUCGGAUGAAUACCACUGGGGGUAGAGCACUGUUUGGGCUAGGGGGUCAUCCCGACUUACCAACCCCAUGCAAACUCCGAAUACCAGUGAGUACUAUCCGGGAGACACACGGCGGGUGCUAACGUUCGUCGUGGAGAGGGAAACAACCCAGACCGCCAGCUAAGGUCCCGAAGUCAUGGUUAAGUGGGAAACGAUGUGGGAAGGCAUAGACAGCUAGGAGGUUGGCUUAGAAGCAGCCACCCUUUAAAGAAAGCGUAAUAGCUCACUAGUCGAGUCGGCCUGCGCGGAAGAUGUAACGGGGCUAAACCAUGCACCGAAGCUGCGGAUUGUUGCACAUCACUUAAUUCGAUUCGAGUUACGCUUACGCGUAGCAAAGCGAAGCGAAAGCGUCCCUUCAAUAGACGAGGAUGCUAAACGUAAAGCAAAGAGUCGCAUUAAGGAUGUGCAACAGUGGUAGGGGAGCGUUGUGUAAGCUGUUGAAGGUGUGUCGAGAGGCAUGCUGGAGGUAUCACAAGUGCGAAUGCUGACAUGAGUAACGAUAAUGGGGGUGAAAAACCCCCACGCCGGAAGACCAAGGGUUCCUAUCCCAUGCUAAUCAGGGUAGGGUAAGUCGGCCCCUAAGGCGAGGCCGAAAGGCGUAGUCGAUGGGAAACGGGUUAAUAUUCCCGUACUUAAAUAUACUGCGAUGGGGUGACGGAGAAGGCUAGGCAAGCGCGGCGUUGGUAGUCCGCGUGAAAGUGAGUAGGUUGAGAGUUUAGGCAAAUCCGGACUCUUAAGACUGAGACACGAGACGAGGUUCUAAGGAACCGAAGUUGUUGAUGCCAUGCUUCCAGGAAAAUCCUCUAAGCUUCAGGUAUAUGAGAACCGUACCCGAAACCGACACAGGUGGUCAGGUAGAGAAUACUAAGGCGCUUGAGAGAACUCGGGUGAAGGAACUAGGCAAAAUAGUACCGUAACUUCGGGAGAAGGUACGCCACUGUUGGUGAAGACUUCGCGUCGUAAGCUGAUAGUGGUCGCAGUGACCAGGUGGCUGGGACUGUUUAUUAAAAACACAGCACUCUGCUAAAACGAAAGUUGACGUAUAGGGUGUGACACCUGCCCGGUGCCGGAAGGUUAAUUGAUGGGGUUAGGAUUCGUCCGAAGCUCUUGAUCGAAGCCCCGGUAAACGGCGGCCGUAACUAUAACGGUCCUAAGGUAGCGAAAUUCCUUGUCGGGUAAGUUCCGACCUGCACGAAUGGUGUAACCAUGGCCACGCUGUCUCCACCCGAGACUCAGUGAAAUUGAAAUCGCUGUGAAGAUGCAGUGUACCCGCGGCUAGACGGAAAGACCCCGUGAACCUUUACUACAGCUUGGCACUGAACAUUGAACCUACAUGUGUAGGAUAGGUGGGAGGCUAUGAAGCGCAGACGCCAGUUUGCGUGGAGCCAACCUUGAAAUACCACCCUUGUAUGUUUGAUGUUCUAACGUUGCCCCAUUAUCUGGGGUGCGGACAGUGCCUGGUGGGUAGUUUGACUGGGGCGGUCUCCUCCCAAAGAGUAACGGAGGAGCACGAAGGUUGGCUAAGUACGGUCGGACAUCGUACGGUUAGUGCAAAGGCAUAAGCCAGCUUAACUGCGAGACAGACACGUCGAGCAGGUGCGAAAGCAGGUCUUAGUGAUCCGGUGGUUCUGAAUGGAAGGGCCAUCGCUCAACGGAUAAAAGGUACUCCGGGGAUAACAGGCUGAUACCGCCCAAGAGUUCAUAUCGACGGCGGUGUUUGGCACCUCGAUGUCGGCUCAUCACAUCCUGGGGCUGAAGUCGGUCCCAAGGGUAUGGCUGUUCGCCAUUUAAAGUGGUACGCGAGCUGGGUUUAGAACGUCGUGAGACAGUUCGGUCCCUAUCUGCCGUGGGCGUUUGAGAGUUGAGAGGAGUUGCUCCUAGUACGAGAGGACCGGAGUGAACGAACCGCUGGUGUUCGGGUUGUCAUGCCAAUGGCACUGCCCGGUAGCUACGUUCGGAAUCGAUAACCGCUGAAAGCAUCUAAGCGGGAAGCGAGCCUCAAGAUGAGCUCUCACUGGAGUGUAAUCUCCCUAAAGGGUUGUUGAAGACUACAACGUUGAUAGGCGGGGUGUGGAAGCGCAGUAAUGUGUUGAGCUAACCCGUACUAAUUGCCCGUGAGGCUUAACCAUACAACACCAAAGCAUUAUG